AUUGAACGCUGGCGGCAGGCCUAACACAUGCAAGUCGAACGAGUGGCGGACGGGUGAGUAAUGUCUGGGAAACUGCCCGAUUGAGGGGGAUAACUACUGGAAACGGUAGCUAAUACCGCAUACCAUCGGAUGUGCCCAGAUGGGAUUAGCUAUUCGGUGGGGUAACGGCUCACCUAGGCGCCGAUCCCUAGCCUGUCUGAGAAGAUGACCAGCCACACUGGGACUGAGACACGGCCCAGACUCCUACGGGAGGCAGCAGUGGGGAAUUUUGGACAAUGGGGGAAACCCUGAUCCAGCCAUGCCGAGUGUGAGAGGAAGGCCUUCGGGUUGUAAAGCACUUUUGGCAGGAAAGCGGUACCUGCAGAAUAAGCACCGGCUAACUACGUGCCAGCCGCCGCGGUAAUUC
rnacentral:rRNA from 1 species